AUAUAUUACUACCAGUCCAAUUUGAGCUUAAAAUUAGUAAAAUAGUAUUUGGACUAAAGCUUUAUAUGUUUUUUAUUGCUUGGAAUAGAUCAUAGAAUGAAAUAAAGUAAUGCUCAAGUCAAUAUAACAAGUUUGGUUCUGUUAUAGGUGUAACACCACUAAUUCGGGCCCGGCCAGAAAGCACAUACCAGAAAGUAGUACAUAUUUAACACAAAAUAGUUCCUACGCAUGAGUGUAACUUUCAAAAUAUAUAGAAUAUUUAGGUAUUUUUGGCAUCAAAUGAAAGCUGAAGGACUGGUGAUCAUUGUAGAACACUUUUGGACUUAAAGUUUUGAAAAUUAAAAAAACUGCACCAAAUUUUAAAAAGAGGGUACAUUUAGUCUGUUUGUCAGAUCUGAAGUACCUGUUUUGGUACAUCCGAAGGUCCGGGAACCAGUUCUUUCUUAUAUGCAAUUAUAGGUAUGUUAAUUUUUUCAGUACAAAACACCAUAAAGUGUUGCUUUGACAUGCAAUGAUUGCCACUUUAUUUGAACUUAAAAUGAAAGAGGUGUGCCUGCUUGAAAUGGAGGAAUUUAACAUAGAAAGCAAAAGGA
rnacentral:lncRNA from 1 species